AUGGCCAGAGGAGUUCUCUGUCCUCCUGUCAAUUCUCUUCACCAAAGCCACCCCAUCUAUUCUCUCUGUAACCCAGAGCAAAAAGCAAGCUGCUGGUGGAAUUCAGUGGGCCAGGCAGCAUCUGUAGAAGGUGAAGUUUCAG